AUGCAUUGUACGAAAGAUGAGCAGGAAAGCGACUUCUCAUCUGCUCCAUCUGUCUGCUCCUCUGUAUAUCUUCAAAUUGUGUCGAUAAUGGCGAAAAUGAAACGGCUGCUUCGGCUCUGUUUACUAAACAAAUCUUUUUUAAAUUUGUGUGCACUCUUCAUUCAACAAAGAAGCUUCUUUAUUAUUUUAGAUUUUUGGGGAAAUAUAAAACAGGAAGAUGAUGUGUUUCUGUCAACUUGCUCAUAG